CCCUUAGAUGUUCUGGGCUGCACGCGUGCUACAAUGGCGUUUCCAGCAAGUCUGCGAACCCGAGAGGGCCAGCGGAUCUUCGAAUUGGCGUCGUGAUCGGGACAGUCGAUUGCAAUUAUUUGACUCAAACGAGGAAUUCCUUGUAAUCGCGAUUCAUCAUAUCGCGCUGAAUACGUCCCUGCCCUUUGUACACACCGCCCGUCGCUCCUAACGAUUGAGCGAUCCGGUAAAUGUUUUGGAUUGGUGCCGGGGCGGCUAGCUGCCGGUCGCUACGAAAUUUUGUGAACCUUAUCGCUUAGAGGAAGGAAAAGUCGUAACA
rnacentral:rRNA from 1 species